rnacentral:ncRNA from 2 species
CAGGGUCACCGCGACUGGCGCACAUGAGGUGGAAACAACCACCGGGGAGCGACGCAGACCGGGGCACCGCGCGCCUGGGUGUCCGGU